rnacentral:rRNA from 1 species
CUCACCUCCUUGUUUAUCCCGCCUAUAUACCGCCGUCGUCAGCAUUACCACUGUGAGGGGCCUAUAGUAAGCAAAGCAAGUAUAACUCAAAACGCAAGGUCGAGGUGUAGCGCAUGAGAGGGGAAGAAAUGGGCUACAUUCCCUAAUUAAGGGCAUACGAAAAGUAUAAUGAAAAAAGUAUUAGAAGGAGGAUUUAGCAGUAAGUAAAAAAUAGAGUGUUUUACUGAAACUGGCCCUGAAGCGCGCACACACCGCCCGUCACUCUCCCCAAAUAUAUAAACCUAAUUACCUAAAAAAAUUAACAAACAAAGGGGAGGUAAGUCGUAACAUGGUAAGUGUACCGGAAGGUGCACUUGGUUAAU